rnacentral:lncRNA from 1 species
CAUUCGAUCUCGAUUUCAGAACUGUUCAAAUCGAUUGCUCUUGAUAAUCAAAAACAGAUCGAUCGAAUUGAUUGUGGCAUCAUGGCGGCAUGUUUGCUACUGAAAAUUGAACAUCGUGUGCAGCUUCGAUUGCGUGAUACUUCAAAUUCAGCUUUGUUUAAUGGUGGUUAAGAGUAACCAGAAUAACAAAAAUGUUAAAUGAAAUGGGGAUUGAAAUGUGGGAGGAUGAAACUUGCUGCCAUGGAUUUGAAAAAAUGUUUUACAGGAAAGAUCAGCCAAGUAGGAAUACUUGGCUGGUAUUUCAGCAACCAGAACACAUCCCCUGUUCCACACAUAGAGCUAAUAAUAUAAUGCAGCUAUCCACCUAAAAUUCAAAAUCAGUUCACCGUGAGCUUCAAUUUAAGUGUUCAUGAUUGAUGUUGACCAAAACAAGAGAUCAUAUUUUUACGUUGACAAAUCUUAUUAAGCCACAUAUAACACAACAGGGAUCCAAGAGAAUGAAUCCAACAGACACAUGAUGAUGCCAUCCUUUUACCUUCAGCUGAAUACGUUUGGUAAUAAACAUUUCGAUCGCACCGACGCACUCAGGAGAAGAUUGUCGAUGAAAUUCCUAAGUACAAUGAACUUUUGCAAUUGUUGGUCGCUGUCGAGCACUGGGCCACGCUGUGCCAACAGUACCAAAUAGUACUUCGAAAGGAAAACGCCUCCACCUUAGCAACCGUGUCUUUACCGUGGAUAAGUUCAUACUGAGUAACGUGAGAAACUCACUCACUGGAAGGCUCCCAAAACACGUAUUGUUGAAUAUAAUGUUCGCAUCAUCGCCAAACACUACACUGGUGUGACGAUGAAAAGGAUGGCUGCUCUCUUCGACUUUGCUGUUGAAGAAACAGAAGAAUUUUCUUCUAAUUUGGUUUCCAGUAAAACUGUAAUGUCAUGCGUCGAGGCCGAACCAAUCUAUAUGAGAAAUACUUGUCCGAUUUUUAAAAUUCGUUUCAGGAGAUUACAGUGUUCGAUUACGCCUGA